AAGAUAGCAGUCAAUAAAAAACUUUUUAAUUGCAUUAAAAUAUUAUCAAAUCAUAGAUUUAUCUU
rnacentral:tRNA from 1 species